rnacentral:rRNA from 1 species
CCUACGGGAGGCAGCAGUGGGGAAUAUUGGACAAUGGGGGGAACCCUGAUCCAGCCAUGCCGCGUGUGUGAAGAAGGCCCUCGGGUUGUAAAGCACUUUCAGUGAGGAAGAACGCCUGCUGGUUAAUACCCAUCAGGAAAGACAUCACUCACAGAAGAAGCACCGGCUAACUCCGUGCCAGCAGCCGCGGUAAUACGGAGGGUGCGAGCGUUAAUCGGAAUUACUGGGCGUAAAGCGCGCGUAGGUGGCUUGAUAAGCCGGUUGUGAAAGCCCCGGGCUCAACCUGGGAACGGCAUCCGGAACUGUCAAGCUAGAGUGCAGGAGAGGAAGGUAGAAUUCCCGGUGUAGCGGUGAAAUGCGUAGAGAUCGGGAGGAAUACCAGUGGCGAAGGCGGCCUUCUGGACUGACACUGACACUGAGGUGCGAAAGCGUGGGUAGCAAACAGGAUUAGAUACCCUGGUAGUC